AGCUUAGUUUAGGGUUUAAAACCCUAAUACUGGCUGAAAGGAAAAGUUCAGUCUAGGGUUUAAAACCCUAAUGCUGACUAAAAGGAAAAUUCAGUUUAGGGUUUAAAACUCUAAUGUUGAUUGCAUGGAAAAGCUCAGUUUAGGGUUUAAAACCCUAAUGCUGGCUGAAUGGAAAAAGUUCAGUUUAGGGUUUAAAACCCUAAUGCUGACUAAAAGGGAAAUUCAGUUUAGGGUUUAAAACCCUAAUGCUGAUUGCAUGGAAAAGCUCAGUUUAGGGUUUAAAACCCUAAUGCUGGCUGAAAGGAAAAAGUUCAGUUUAGGGUUUAAAACCCUAAUGCUGACUAAAAGGAAAAUUCAGUUUAGGGUUUAAAACCCUAAUGCUGAUAGCAUGGAAAAGCUCAGUUUAGGGUUUAAAACCCUAAUGCUGAUAGCAUGGAAAAGCUCAGUUUAGGGUUUAAAACCCUAGUGCUGGCUGAAUGAAAAAAGUUCAGUUUAGGGUUUAAAACCCUAAUGCUGAUAGCAUAGAAAAGUUCAGUUUAGGGUUUAAAACCCUAAUGCUGAUAGCAUGGAAAAGCUCAGUUUAGGGUUUAAAACCAUAGUGCUGGCUGAAUGAAAAAAGUUCAGUUUAGGGUUUAAAACCCUAAUGCUGACUAAAAGGAAAAUUCAGUUUAGGGUUUAAAACCCUAAUGCUGAUAGCAUGGAAAAGCUCAGUUUAGGGGUUUAAAACCCUAAUGCUGGCUGAAAGGAAAAAGUUCAGUUUAGGGUUUAAAACCCUAAUGCUGACUAAAAGGAAAGUUCAGUUUAGGGUUUAAAACCCUAAUGCUGAUUGCAUGGAAAAGCUCAGUUUAGAGUUUAAAACCCUAGUGCUGGCUGAAUGAAAAAAGUUCAGUUUAGGGUUUAAAACCCUAAUGCUGACUAAAAGGAAAGUUCAGUUUAGGGUUUAAAACCCUAAUGCUGAUUGCAUGGAAAAGCUCAGUUUAAGGUUUAAAACCCUAGUGCUGGCUGAAUGAAAAAAGUUCAGUUUAGGGUUUAAAACCCUAAUGCUGACUAAAAGGAAAAUUCAGUUUAGGGUUUAAAACCCUAAUGCUGAUUGCAUGGAAAAGCUCAGUUUAGGGUUUAAAACCCUAAUGCUGGCUGAAAGGAAAAAGUUCAGUUUAGGGUUUAAAACCCUAAUGCUGACUAAAAGGAAAGUUCAGUUUAGGGUUUAAAACCCUAAUGCUGAUUGCAUGGAAAAGCUCAGUUUAGGGUUUAAAACCCUAACGCUGGCUGAAAGAAAAAAGUUCAGUUUAGGGUUUAAAACCCUAAUGCUGAAUUAAAGGAAAAUUCACUUUAGGGUUUGAAACCCUAAUGCUGAUAGCAUGGAAAAGCUCAGUUUAGGGUUUAAAACCCUAAUGCUGAUAGCAUGGAAAAGCUCAGUUUAGGGUUUAAAACCCUAAUAUUGGCUGAAAGGAAAAAGUUCAGUCUAGGGUUUAAAACCCUAAUGCUGACUAAAAGGAAAAUUCAGUUUAGGGUUUAAAACUCUAAUGUUGAUUGCAUGGAAAAGCUCAGUUUAGGGUUUAAAACCCUAAUGCUGGUUGAAUGGAAAAAGUUCAGUUUAGGGUUUAAAACCCUAAUGCUGACUAAAAGGGAAAGUUCAGUUUAGGGUUUAAAACCCUAAUGCUGACUAAAAGGAAAAUUCAGUUUAGGGUUUAAAACCCUAAUGCUGAUUGCAUGGAAAAGCUCAGUUUAGGGUUUAAAACCCUAGUGCUGGCUGAAUGAAAAAAGUUCAGUUUAGGGUUUAAAACCCUAAUGCUGACUAAAAGGAAAAUUCAGUUUAGGGUUUAAAACCCUAAUGCUGAUUGCAUGGAAAAGCUCAGUUUAGGGUUUAAAACCCUAAUGCUGAUAGCAUGGAAAAGCUCAGUUUAGGGUUUAAAACCCUAAUGCUGGCUGAAUGGAAAAAGUUCAGUUUAGGGUUUAAAACCCUAAUGCUGACUAAAAGGAAAAUUCAGUUUAGGGUUUAAAACCCUAAUGCUGAUUGCAUGGAAAAGCUCAGUUUAGGGUUUAAAACCCUAAUGCUGACUAAAAGGAAAAUUCAGUUUAGGGUAUAAAACCCUAAUGCUGAUUGCAUGGAAAAGCUCAGUUUAGAGUUUAAAACCCUAACGCUGGCUGAAAGGAAAAAGUUCAGUUUAGGGUUUAAAACCCUAAUGCUGAAUUAAAGGAAAAUUCAGUUUAGGGUUUGAACCCUAAUGCUGAUUGCAUGGAAAAGCUCAGUUUAGGGUUUAAAACCCUAAUGCUGGCUGAAAGGAAAAAGUUCAGUUUAGGGUUUAAAACCCUAAUGCUGAUGGCUGGGGACAAAAUUCGAGAACAACCACUGAC
rnacentral:lncRNA from 1 species